AAAGCCGGUUUGUGGGUACAGGGCCUCCAGGAGCGGCGCGAUCAGGGCGCGGGAGGGGCGCUGGCGGGGGCCAGUCUGCAGGAGCGGCUCCCAGGGCCCGGGCCGCGAGUGGAGGGCCGACGGCCACUCGGAUGGAGGUCUUCAGGAGUAAAUUAUAUCCGAUGAAGACCCUUCCCGCGUGUGUAGACAGCCCUUUGAAGUUUACGGAGGCUUGAGAUAUCCAUGCUGUCCCCGAUUUUUCUUUCAGUUUCUCUAAUGCUAAGUUGAGUCCAGUCUCAGGGCCUUCCCAUUUGAGGUUCCGGGGCCUGGCACUCUGCCCCGAGACCGUCCUUUUCCUGUGUCUGUUUCCAGCUUUCCAUGCAGGGUGGCAUCUGUGAGUCUUGCCUGACUGCCCAGCACAUUGAAUCAUUGAGCAAAUAUUUACUGAGUGCCUACUAUGUGCCAGGUACAGGUAGGGGAAUCACACCGGCCUUCCAGUCCUGCUCUAUUUUAAUCGCAGCAUUUAUCACUUUAUGCAAUUAUUUUGUUCAUUUUGCUGUUUGCAGAUUAUUGUCUGCCAUCCCCACUAGAAUUUAAAAGCCCUGAGAGUGGGGGUCUCGCCUGCCUUGUCCUCUGCUGUGUGCCCAGCCCCAGGGACUGGCCUGGCACUUGGACGGGAAACUGAGGCUCUGGUCCCGGCCACACAGAAGCCACAGCAAUAAGGAAUGCCAGAGCCAGAGGGUUCUUUCUUCUAGGUUCUAUCAGUGAAAUGGAUAUAAGACAAAUUAACAGGAGAAAAACAAAUUUAAUUUCGUAUGUCCGGGAGCCCCAUAAGGAUAUGAAGACUCACAAGGCAGCCAGGAUGGCUGGUCAUGGCUGCGAGUAUCAAAUGCUGACCAAGAUAGUGGCCAAAAUCCUAAUGACACUGAUGAUGGAUGGAGCAUAAAUCCAGAGGUCAGUUGUUCCAGAAUUGUCCCAAUAGCUCAAUGAUGUCAGCAAGGACCUAAGCUCUUUCUGUCUUUCAUUAUCCUCAGCACAUUGGCUGUUGUCCUUCACUGUGUCACCCAGUGGUCCAAAGAUGGCUCCCUCAGCUGCAAGCAUCCUUCAGCAGUUACGUUCAAAAGCAGAAAAGAAAAGAGAAAAAGAGAGCUCUCUUUGUGAGUUCUUCCUCCUGGGUUUCUCUCCAAGGGUCACAGUGGAAACGAUUUCCCAGAAACCCUCUUGCUGGGAUCACAUGUCUGGAUCACAUGACCACCCCUGGUUGCAAAGGAGUCUGUGAAAGCAAGGAUCUGGGACAGGGCACUGGCCCAGACCCCCGUGGGUGGGGGCAGGCCAGUUGUAACAUUUGCGGAGCUCAGGGCAAGAACACAUGAUGAUAAAUAAAACAUGUCCUAACCUGCUAACCUGACAGAUACACCUUCAAAA